GCCGGCGUAGCUCAACGGCAGAGCAGCGCAUUCGUAAUGCGCAGGUUGCCCGUUCGAAUCGGGCCGCCGGCUCCA
rnacentral:tRNA from 1 species